rnacentral:Y_RNA from 1 species
GGCUGGUCUGAAGGGGGUGAGUUAUCUCAACUGAUUGUUCACAGUCAGUUACAGAUUAAACUCCUUGUUUUACUCUUUCCCACUUCUCACUGCUGCACUUGACUAGUCUUAA